UACGGAGGGUGCGAGCGUUGUCCGGAAUCACUGGGCGUAAAGGGUGCGCAGGCGGCCAAGUGUGUCAGGUGUGAAAUCCCGAGCUUAACCUCGGAACUGCGCCUGAAACUACUUGGCUAGAGUACUGGAGAGGGUAACGGAAUUCACGGUGUAGCAGUGAAAUGCGUAGAUAUCGUGAGGAACACCAGAGGCGAAGGCGGUUACCUGGACAGUUACUGACGCUCAGGCAACGAAAAGCGUGGGGAGCAAAAGGG
rnacentral:rRNA from 1 species